CACGUAGGACGCAAGCGUUAUCCGGAAUUAUUGGGCGUAAAGGGCGCGCAGGCGGCCACGCACGUCCGUUGUGAAAUCGCCCGGCUCAACUGGGCGGGGUCGGCGGAUACGGCGUGGCUGGAGCAAGCUAGGGGGUAGUGGAAUUCCCGGUGUAGUGGUGGAAUGCGUAGAUAUCGGGAGGAACACCAGUGGCGAAGGCGGCUACCUGGGGCUUUGCUGACGCUGAGGCGCGAAAGCGUGGGGGAGCGAUCCGGG
rnacentral:rRNA from 1 species